CUUUGGGUUACCCUCCCUGGGUCAUUUCCUACCACCUGCCCUUCUCCCUCGGCUUCCAGUCCAAUAGAAGGUGAAAAGAAAUAGAAAAGACAACCAGAUUAUUAGCCCUAACCAGGAUCAGCAUACAGGCCUAUUUCCACGGGGAGGCUUCUCCGGCACCCUUGUCAGGAGUCUUCAGGGUUGGUCUGUCCUUCUCUCCUUUUCUGAGCUGGGUUGCUCCCUUUUCAGCCCUCGCUCCAGUUGGUGCAUGCUCCACAGGACUGGAAGGGUGGGUCUACCUGGGCCCAGUACUGUCCUUUAACCCUCUCUGGCUCAGUGUGAGGUGUGUGCAUCCCAUCACACAGGUCCUUAUUGUACAUUUUAGGUUGGAGAAAGAACUGAGUAUAUUUGGUAGGGUGGGCAGCAGGUUCUGAUAAGACAUGAACCAACACUAGGUGCUAGGAAAGUUUUGAUUGUUAUAAAAAACUGGGAGGGGUUUUGUGACUGUGUCUCAGUUGGUAAAUAUAAGAGACAUUUCAACAUGUGUUAAAGUGAAGUGGCUGAGUCCUUGCUGCUGUGUGGAAUACAGUAAAGACUCUCAGUCAAAUCCUUUUCUCAUUCCAUGCCUUUAAUGUCAAGCACAUCACAUUCUGGAAAGUGAUUAGAUGUGGCCUUUACUAUUGACCUGCUGCUUCACGGCUACAUGUUAGCGUUUCACAAGCCAGUCGUGCAAACUGAAAUUCUUUUUUAAACUAUAUAUUUAAAAAGCUGUUUAAGAUCGUCCAUCAUAAACAGUAUAAUGGUAUGUUUACUUGCAGUUAUAUUAUUCAGCCACCAGAUGUCUGUGCACUGUAUAGAAUUCCAGACUGCGCAUAAGCUUUGGUAAACAUGAGCAACCAAGCUGGAAUUCAAGUUGUGUGGAAGCCUAUCUGUCUGCAGUUUUUUUUCCUUAGGAAGCACCUCCUGUUUAAAAAGGUCUAUAAUUUCAGAUAGCAUGACAUGGGGUGAAAAGUAUGCCUGUGAGAGACUAAGUAUUCAUGACUACAGAGCAAACCGAAUACAUGCAUAUGUGUUCAUCCAGGUUUUCAUAAUGACACCCAUUACUUCAGUAUCUGAGUGGUUCCCAAGAGAUGAUCAUUCAAAUCACAAUAGGAAAGUGGUCUAAUUUCCCUCCCUAUCUUUUCUUGAGAUAGUCAUGGAUAUGUAGCUUAUAUAUAUUCAUUCUUAUCUCUCUUUCUACUUUUCUUUUUUUCUCUCUCUCCCUUCUUGCCUUCCCCCCUCCUCAUCUUCUUCCUUCUCUCUUCUUUCUUGCUGAUUUUAGUUUCAGCUGUAGGAAAGCUACAUCAAAGAAAUGCCUUUGUUCUAAAGGCCAUGAGAUUUGUGGCCAAAGCCUUUUUAAUGUAUAAACACAUUUUGAAAGUAACCUGAAAGAGUUUGACCUGCCAAGACUUGAGUUCAGGGCUCUGUAUUUCUCCUGGAAAAGUUAAUGUCAUCACAAAUACCAAAAGGAGAGCAUGGAGCUGCCUUCCUGACUAGAUCUUAGAUUCAUAGAUUAAUACACCAGAAGGGACCUCUGGGAUCAUUUAGUCCGCCCCCUUGUAUACCACAGGCCAUAGGAUUCCCCUGAAUUAAUUCCUGUUUGAAAUUCCUUUGGUAUUUGCAUUGCCACUAAUUCUUACAACAACAAAUAAAAAAGAUGAGAGAUUGAAUCUCAUUUCAGUGUACUUGUAUUUGUUCAUAAUUUUAAGGCUAGACAGUACAUGUAUUUGGUCCAUGAUCUAGGAUUGCAAUCAGUUUUUGUAUUUAUUUAAAAAGUAGUUCAAUUCCCCUUAAAAGAAAAUAAUUUUGGGUAGUCAGGAAAUGGUUUGAUCUUUUAAAACAUUAAAGGGCAUUUAUUCUCUGAAAAGAGACUGUAAAAAGGAUAUCAUGGGGUUCCAGGUUUAUUGUCUUUCACUGGUUUCCAAAGUAAAUCUGCUCAAUUUACAAGCUCUAAAAAAGGUUUUUUUCAUAGCUAUGAAGAUCAUCUAGUCUGACCUCCGGAAUAACACAGGCCUCACCCAGUAAAGUCUGAAUCAGGCUCGUUAUUUCUGUCUGACUGUAGCACAUCUUUAAGAAAGGGUGAAUGGGUCAAUACUAGCAACUCUACCAAUAAAAGUCGCUCAGAAAGAGAUCUUUGAGAAGGGUUUACAGCUUGGAUUUGUGCGGGAUGCCUGCAUGCUGAUUCAGAUCCAUAGACAUCGGAAGCAGUGGAAUGGAGUGGGAUCAGCUCCUGCGUGCGCUGAUUUUCAUCCGAAUGUUGUUAGUGCUAUCCUGUUCUAUUUUGCAGGGUGUAGGUGGAUUCCAUUAUUCUCCUCACAAAGAGAAACAGAAAAGUGUGUGUGUGUUUAAAUGGCACUUGGGAGUUCACACCCAAUUUAUGGACUAUUUAGCUUGGCAUUGUCCAUAUUAAUGUUAUAUUUUUUGUAAUUCUCUCGGACUAAGAUGUGAAGUGACAUUCUUGUCUGGUUUCCAAUCUGGCAAGGUCGGGCGAGGAAACAAACGAGCUUGAAAAUUCCUUUUUGCAGAUCCCAGAGCCAGGCUUAUAUCUGAUUUCUCUCCCCUUGCUCUAGCUCACUUCCUGGGCUCCUCCAGCAGUACUCCCCUGAUCAGUAACAGCACUCAAGAAGAAAUGCCCUUGUGCAGGGGGUGUCGAGAAGGGAUGCAUGCACAACGAUGCUUGAAACCAGGGUACAGAAUUGCCCCAGCCCGCCUUUGAGAUCAGAUUACAGGGCAUGUAACUUCUUUCAUGUGACAGGUAUUCUUGAAAAUCAUAUAACUGGAAUGGCUAAUUUUCCACUUUAAUUUCAAGCCAGGAUUUUAGACAGAAGGUAGGAAACUUUGAGAGAACUUUUUAAAAGGAACAGGACUUCCCGCGGAAAGCAGAAGGGACGAGGGGAUUAGUGCCAGUUUCCCAGCAUGCCUCUUAGAAGGCAGAGAGUCUGUUCCAUUGUUGCCAGUCGUCAAGAAUGUCAGCCAGCCACUUGCUCAGCAGAGAUGCAUCCUCAGUCCAAGCAAUGUGAGCCAGAAUGGGCAAAAAUUCAUAUUUUUGCUGGUAUCGCUCCCUUUUCCAAAUACCAGACCACCACUCAAUCUGGAGCUGCACGGAGUAUAAUUUAGGGCUGAAUUUAUCCCAACAAUAUUAAUUAAAGAUGCAUCAGAAGAGAGAAAUAACAGUAAAAAUAUGAUUUUUGCCCAUAGCUCCUUCUGUUAGUGGGAAGCUGGAUGUAAUUCCUAAGAGGCUGAUGGCUAAUAUUCUUGCUCAGCAGAGUUGUUGGGAUCCACUAGGCAUAGCUACCAGGUAACUCGGGAGAGUGGAAAGCCAAAGUGUCGAUGAAACUCUUUUGCUCUGGGCCUAUCUGAAACCCCCAGACUCCAUCUUGUGAACUUUCAUCUACUUCUGUGCUAACUGCUUACAUGUUAAAGCAGAAAUGUAUUGGUCAGCGUUUCUGGUAGAUGGCUGCAGUUUCACUCACACUAGCAGAAAUAAUAAAGAUAAGGAGGAGGGAACAGAGAGAAAUAGUUAGUUUGCAGCCGCUUUCCCAUAUAUCCCCAAGGUAUUUAGUGCAAAGGGUCAAGGGAUGUACCUUGUUCUCCCUUCAAAAUGAUAAAUGUAUCUGCAAUAGAUGUCUCUUGUAUCCCCCCUCCCCAAAAUAAUAUAUGUAUCCUGUGUAACCUAUUAUCUAUCGGUCAGCAUAAUGACGUAAAAAGGAUGAGAACUGAGUUGUUUGUUACUGGUUAUAAAAAGGGCCUAUGUUGCCCAUGUAAGGUGUGUCUCUUCUGGCAUAAGUCGAGGAGCACCCUCUCAGCUGACUGACAAAUAAAGGACCUGGUACCCGUC